rnacentral:rRNA from 1 species
UAUGGCGACCGGCGCACGGGUGAGUAACACGUAUCCAACCUGCCGAUGACUCGGGGAUAGCCUUUCGAAAGAAAGAUUAAUACCCGAUGGCAUAGUUCUUCCGCAUGGUAGAACUAUUAAAGAAUUUCGGUCAUCGAUGGGGAUGCGUUCCAUUAGGUUGUUGGCGGGGUAACGGCCCACCAAGCCUUCGAUGGAUAGGGGUUCUGAGAGGAAGGUCCCCCACAUUGGAACUGAGACACGGUCUAA